rnacentral:rRNA from 1 species
UCGAUGCAUCUAGAUUGCGGAUCCGCGGCCGCAGAGUUUGAUCCUGGCUCAGGAUGAACGCUAGCGGCAGGCUUAACACAUGCAAGUCGAGGGGCAACGCGAGUAGCAAUACUUGGCGGCGACCGGCGCAAGGGUGCGUAACGCGUGAGCAACAUGCCCGUAUCAGGGGGAUAAUCCAGGGAAACUUGGUCUAAUACCCCAUAGUAAUUUUGUAAGGCAUCUUAUAAGAUUUAAAGCUUUGGUGGAUACGGAUUGGCUCGCGUGACAUUAGCUGGAUGGUAAGGUAACGGCUUACCAUGGCUAUGAUGUCUAGGGGUUCUGAGAGGAAGGUCCCCCACACUGGAACUGAGACACGGUCCAGACUCCUACGGGAGGCAGCAGUGAGGAAUAUUGGACAAUGGAUGGAAAUCUGAUCCAGCCAUGCCGCGUGAAGGAAGAAGGUCCUAUGGAUUGUAAACUUCUUUUGUAUGGGAGCAAUAAGGCCUACGAGUAGGUUGAUGAGAGUACCAUACGAAUAAGCACCGGCUAACUCCGUGCCAGCAGCCGCGGUAAUACGGGAGGGUGCAAAGCGUUAUCCGGAUUUAUUGGGUUUAAAGGGGUGCGUAAGGCCGGUAUUUAAAUCAGUGGUGGA